rnacentral:rRNA from 1 species
UGAGGAAUACUGGUCAAUGGACGGAAGUCUGAACCAGCCAUGCCGCGUGAAGGAUGAAGGCGUUCUGCGUUGUAAACUUCUUUUAUCUGGGAAGAAACCACAGAUUUCUAUUUGUGUUGACGGUACCAGAAGAAUAAGCACCGGCUAACUCCGUGCCAGCAGCCGCGGUAAUACGGAGGGUGCGAGCGUUAUCCGGAUUUACUGGGUUUAAAGGGUGCGUAGGUGGGCUUAUAAGUCAGUGGUGAAAUCUCCGAGCUUAACUUGGAAACUGCCGUUGAUACUAUAGGUCUUGAAUUAUCUGGGGGUAAGCGGAAUAUGUCAUGUAGCGGUGAAAUGCUUAGAUAUGACAUAGAACACCGAUUGCGAAGGCAGCUUACUACAUAUAAAUUGACGCUGAGGCACGAAAGCGUGGGGAUCAAACA